UGUGAGGGUUGCUGGAGGUAUCAGAAGUGCGAAUGCUGACAUAAGUAACGAUAAAGCGGGUGAAAAGCCCGCUCGCCGGAAGACCAAGGGUUCCUGUCCAACGUUAAUCGGGGCAGGGUGAGUCGACCCCUAAGGCGAGGCCGAAAGGCGUAGUCGAUGGGAAACGGGUUAAUAUUCCCGUACUUGGUGUUACUGCGAAGGGGGGACGGAGAAGGCUAUGUUGGCCGGGCGACGGUUGUCCCGGUUUAAGCGUGUAGGUGUGUGUUCCAGGUAAAUCCGGUUCACUUUAACACUGAGGCGUGACGACGAGGCACUACGGUGCUGAAGCAACAAAUGCCCUGCUUCCAGGAAAAGCCUCUAAGCAUCAGGUAACAUCAAAUCGUACCCCAAACCGACACAGGUGGUCAGGUAGAGAAUACCAAGGCGCUUGAGAGAACUCGGGUGAAGGAACUAGGCAAAAUGGUGCCGUAACUUCGGGAGAAGGCACGCUGACACGUAGGUGAAGUGAUUUACUCAUGGAGCUGAAGUCAGUCGAAGAUACCAGCUGGCUGCAACUGUUUAUUAAAAACACAGCACUGUGCAAACACGAAAGUGGACGUAUACGGUGUGACGCCUGCCCGGUGCCGGAAGGUUAAUUGAUGGGGUCAGCGCAAGCGAAGCUCCUGAUCGAAGCCCCGGUAAACGGCGGCCGUAACUAUAACGGUCCUAAGGUAGCGAAAUUCCUUGUCGGGUAAGUUCCGACCUGCACGAAUGGCGUAAUGAUGGCCAGGCUGUCUCCACCCGAGACUCAGUGAAAUUGAACUCGCUGUGAAGAUGCAGUGUACCCGCGGCAAGACGGAAAGACCCCGUGAACCUUUACUAUAGCUUGACACUGAACAUUGAGCCUUGAUGUGUAGGAUAGGUGGGAGGCUUUGAAGUGUGGACGCCAGUCUGCAUGGAGCCGACCUUGAAAUACCACCCUUUAAUGUUUGAUGUUCUAACGUGGACCCGUUACCCGGGUUGCGGACAGUGUCUGGUGGGUAGUUUGACUGGGGCGGUCUCCUCC
rnacentral:rRNA from 1 species